rnacentral:rRNA from 1 species
UACGGAGGGUGCGAGCGUUGUCCGGAAUCACUGGGCGUAAAGGGCGCGUAGGCGGCCUGAUAAGUAGGGGGUGAAAUCCUGCGGCUUAACCGCAGGGCUGCCUUCUAAACUGUCGGGCUAGAGCACGGUAGAGGCAGAUGGAAUUCCCGGUGUAGCGGUGGAAUGCGUAGAGAUCGGGAGGAACAUCUGUGGCGAAGGCGACUGCCUGGACCAGCACUGACACUGAGGCACGAAAGCGUGGGGAGCAAACAGG